rnacentral:rRNA from 1 species
CCUACGGGAGGCAGCAGUGGGGGAUAUUGCACAAUGGGGGGAACCCUGAUGCAGCGACGCCGCGUGGGUGAAGAAGCGCCUCGGCGCGUAAAGCCCUGUCAGCAGGGAAGAAAAUGACGGUACCUGAAGAAGAAGCCCCGGCUAAAUACGUGCCAGCAGCCGCGGUAAUCCGUAGGGGGCAAGCGUUAUCCGGAAUUACUGGGUGUAAAGGGGGCGCAGACGGCGUUGCAAGCCAGGAGUGAAAGCCCGGGGCCCAACCCCGGGCCUGCUCUUGUCACUGGGUAGCGUGAGUGCAGGAGAGGCAGGUGGAAUUCCUGGUGUAGCGGUGAAAUGCGUAGAUAUCAGGAGGAACACCGGUGGCGAAGGCGGCCUGCUGGACUGCGACUGACGUUGAGGCCCGAAAGCGUGGGGAGCAAACAGGAUUAGAUACCCGAGUAGUC